rnacentral:misc_RNA from 1 species
UCCCCGUUGCCGAGGCAGUCUCGUUAGAAAUAUCCAACUAACGACGAGGGUUGCGCUCGUUUAGGGACUUAACCCGACAUCUCACGACACGAGCUGACGACGACCAUGCAUCACCUGUCACUGGUCCAGCCGAACUGACCAUUUUAUUUCUAAAAUGUGCGACCAGGAUGUCAAGCCCUGGUAAGGUUCUUCGCGUAGCCUCGAAUUAAACCACACGCUCCACCGCUUGUGCGGGUCCCCGUCAAUUCCUUUGAGUUUUAGCCUUGCGGCCGUACUCCCCAGGCGGGAUGCUUAACGCGUUAGCUUCGCUACUGAAAGGGUCGAUACUUCCAACAGCUAGCAUCCAUCGUUUACGGCGUGGACUAC